rnacentral:rRNA from 1 species
GACGUAGAGCGCGAGCGUUGUCCGGAUUUAUUGGGCGUAAAGAGCUCGUAGGCGGUGUGUCGCGUCGGCCGUGAAAACCUGCAGCUUAACUGUGGGCGUGCGGUCGAUACGGGCAUCACUGGAGUUCGGCAGGGGAGACUGGAAUUCCUGGUGUAGCGGUGAAAUGCGCAGAUAUCAGGAGGAACACCGGUGGCGAAGGCGGUUCUCUGGGCCUGACCUGACGCUGAGGAGCGAAAAGCGUGGGGGAGCGAACAGG